rnacentral:rRNA from 1 species
AGAGUUUGAUCAUGGCUCAGAUUGAACGCUGGCGGCAGGCCUAACACAUGCAAGUCGAACGGUAACAGAAAGCAGCUUGCUGCUUUGCUGACGAGUGGCGGACGGGUGAGUAAUGUCUGGGAAACUGCCUGAUGGAGGGGGAUAACUACUGGAAACGGUAGCUAAUACCGCAUAACGUCGCAAGACCAAAGAGGGGGACCUUCGGGCCUCUUGCCUAUCGGAUGUGCCCAGAUGGGAUUAGCUAGUAGGUGGGGUAACGGCUCACCUAGGCGACGAUCCCUAGCUGGUCUGAGAGGAUGACCAGCCACACUGGAAUUGAGACACGGUCCAGACUCCUACGGGAGGCAGCAGUGGGGAAUAUUGCACAAUGGGCGCAAGCCUGAUGCAGCCAUGCCGCGUGUAUGAAGAAGGCCUUCGGGUUGUAAAGUACUUUCAGCGGGGAGGAAGGGAGUAAAGUUAAUACCUUUGCUCAUUGACGUUACCCGCAGAAGAAGCACCGGCUAACUCCGUGCCAGCAGCCGCGGUAAUACGGAGGGUGCAAGCGUUAAUCGGAAUUACUGGGCGUAAAGCGCACGCAGGCGGUUUGUUAAGUCAGAUGUGAAAUCCCCGGGCUCAACCUGGGAACUGCAUCUGAUACUGGCAAGCUUGAGUCUCGUAGAGGGGGGUAGAAUUCCAGGUGUAGCGGUGAAAUGCGUAGAGAUCUGGAGGAAUACCGGUGGCGAAGGCGGCCCCCUGGACGAAGACUGACGCUCAGGUGCGAAAGCGUGGGGAGCAAACAGGAUUAGAUACCCUGGUAGUCCACGCCGUAAACGAUGUCGACUUGGAGGUUGUGCCCUUGAGGCGUGGCUUCCGGAGCUAACGCGUUAAGUCGACCGCCUGGGGAGUACGGCCGCAAGGUUAAAACUCAAAUGAAUUGACGGGGGCCCGCACAAGCGGUGGAGCAUGUGGUUUAAUUCGAUGCAACGCGAAGAACCUUACCUGGUCUUGACAUCCACGGAAGUUUUCAGAGAUGAGAAUGUGCCUUCGGGAACCGUGAGACAGGUGCUGCAUGGCUGUCGUCAGCUCGUGUUGUGAAAUGUUGGGUUAAGUCCCGCAACGAGCGCAACCCUUAUCCUUUGUUGCCAGCGGUCCGGCCGGGAACUCAAAGGAGACUGCCAGUGAUAAACUGGAGGAAGGUGGGGAUGACGUCAAGUCAUCAUGGCCCUUACGACCAGGGCUACACACGUGCUACAAUGGCGCAUACAAAGAGAAGCGACCUCGCGAGAGCAAGCGGACCUCAUAAAGUGCGUCGUAGUCCGGAUUGGAGUCUGCAACUCGACUCCAUGAAGUCGGAAUCGCUAGUAAUCGUGGAUCAGAAUGCCACGGUGAAUACGUUCCCGGGCCUUGUACACACCGCCCGUCACACCAUGGGAGUGGGUUGCAAAAGAAGUAGGUAGCUUAACCUUCGGGAGGGCGCUUACCACUUUGUGAUUCAUGACUGGGGUGAAGUCGUAACAAGGUAACCGUAGGGGAACCUGCGGUUGGAUCACCU